UCGAGCGAUACCUUUAUUUGAAGUGUUGAAGCCGUAAGGCAGAUGCGCGGAUGAUGAGGGAUAUAGCGGCAGACUGGUGAGGAACACGUGAGUAAUUUACCCUUAAGUCGGGGAUAGCUUCGCGAAAGUGGAGGUAAUACCUGAUGUGCUUUCCGGGACGCAAGUUCUGGCAAGUAAAGGCGCUUCGCAAGAGGUGACGUUUAAGGAUGAGCUCGCGUCCUAUCAGCUAGUUGGUAGGGUAACGNCCUACCAAGGCUUUUGACGGGUAGCUGGCCUGANAGGGUGGUCAGCCACAUGGGGACUGAGACACUGCCCCAACUCCUACGGGAGGCUGCAGUCGAGGAUAUUUAGCAAUGGACGAAAGUCUGACUAUGUGACGCCGCGUGAGGGAUGAAGGUCUUCGGAUUGUAAACCUCUUUCGAUAGGGAAGAAAAUUCCNGGUUAACUCCCGGAACUGACGGUACCUAGAGAAGAAGCCAUGGCCAACUCUGUGCC
rnacentral:rRNA from 1 species